rnacentral:rRNA from 1 species
UACGGAGGGGGCUAGCGUUGUUCGGAAUUACUGGGCGUAAAGCGCGCGUAGGCGGACCUGCAAGUCGGGGGUGAAAGCCCGAGGCUCAACCUCGGAACUGCCCUCGAUACUGCGGGUCUCGAGUCCGGGAGAGGAGAGUGGAAUUCCUGGUGUAGCGGUGAAAUGCGCAGAUAUCAGGAAGAACACCCGUGGCGAAGGCGGCUCUCUGGGACGGUACUGACGCUGAGACGCGAAAGCGUGGGGAGCGAACAGG